rnacentral:rRNA from 1 species
ANNUGCAGUCGAGCGACAGAUAAGGAGCUUGCNUCCUUUGACGUUAGCGGCGGACGGGUGAGUAACACGUGGAUAACCUACCUAUAAGACUGGGAUAACUUCGGGAAACCGGAGCUAAUACCGGAUAACAUAUUGAACCGCAUGGUUCAAUAGUGAAAGGCGGCUUUGCUGUCACUUAUAGAUGGAUCCGCGCCGUAUUAGCUAGUUGGUAAGGUAACGGCUUACCAAGGCAACGAUACGUAGCCGACCUGAGAGGGUGAUCGGCCACACUGGAACUGAGACACGGUCCAGACUCCUACGGGAGGCAGCAGUAGGGAAUCUUCCGCAAUGGGCGAAAGCCUGACGGAGCAACGCCGCGUGAGUGAUGAAGGUCUUCGGAUCGUAAAACUCUGUUAUCAGGGAAGAACAAAUGUGUAAGUAACUGUGCACAUCUUGACGGUACCUGAUCAGAAAGCCACGGCUAACUACGUGCCAGCAGCCGCGGUAAUACGUAGGUGGCAAGCGUUAUCCGGAAUUAUUGGGCGUAAAGCGCGCGUAGGCGGUUUUUUAAGUCUGAUGUGAAAGCCCACGGCUCAACCGUGGAGGGUCAUUGGAAACUGGAAAACUUGAGUGCAGAAGAGGAAAGUGGAAUUCCAUGUGUAGCGGUGAAAUGCGCANAGAUAUGGAGGAACACCAGUGGCGAAGGCNACUUUCUGGUCUGUAACUGACGCUGAUGUGCGAAAGCGUGGGGAUCAAACAGGAUUANNAUACCCUGGUANUCCACGCCGUAAACNAUGANUGCUAANNUGUUANGGGGUUUCCGCCCCUUANUGCUGCANCUAACGCAUUA